CCGUGAACCUUUACUAUAGCUUGACACUGAACAUUGAGCCUUGAUGUGUAGGAUAGGUGGGAGGCUUUGAAGUGUGGACGCCAGUCUGCAUGGAGCCGACCUUGAAAUACCACCCUUUAAUGUUUGAUGUUCUAACGUUGACCCGUAAUCCGGGUUGCGGACAGUGUCUGGUGGGUAGUUUGACUGGGGCGGUCUCCUCCCAAAGAGUAACGGAGGAGCACGAAGGUGUGCUAAUCAUGGUC
rnacentral:rRNA from 13 species